UCUGAAGACCAUAGAGCAUUAGAACCACCUGAUCCCAUCCCGAACUCAGUAGUGAAAUGAUGCAUCGCCGAUGGUAGUGUGGGGCUUCCCCAUGUGAGAGUAGGUCAUCUUCAGGC
rfam:Endozoicomonas elysicola strain DSM 22380 scaffold00001, whole genome shotgun sequence.